UACACAUGGGUGUUUGUCUGAUGUGUAGGCUAAGAUUUGGAGACAGGUGCAGAAACUAAAUCCUCUUUCACAACUCAGAUCUCAUUGUUCUGUAUGAGUUUUGAUACAGAUAAGGAACAUG
ensembl:snoRNA